UAGGGAAUCUUCCACAAUGGACGCAAGUCUGAUGGAGCAACGCCGCGUGAGUGAAGAAGGUCUUCGGAUCGUAAAACUCUGUUGUUAGAGAAGAACACGAGUGAGAGUAACUGUUCAUUCGAUGACGGUAUCUAACCAGCAAGUCACGGCUAACUACGUGCCAGCAGCCGCGGUAAUACGUAGGUGGCAAGCGUUGUCCGGAUUUAUUGGGCGUAAAGGGAACGCAGGCGGUCUUUUAAGUCUGAUGUGAAAGCCUUCGGCUUAACCGGAGUAGUGCAUUGGAAACUGGAUAACUUGAGUGCAGAAGAGGGUAGUGGAACUCCAUGUGUAGCGGUGGAAUGCGUAGAUAUAUGGAAGAACACCAGUGGCGAAGGCGGCUACCUGGUCUGCAACUGACGCUGAGACUCGAAAGCAUGGGUAGCGAACAGGAUUAGAUACCCUGGUAGUCCAUGCCGUAAACGAUGAGUGCUAGGUGUUGGAGGGUUUCCGCCCUUCAGUGCCGGAGCUAACGCAUUAAGCACUCCGCCUGGGGAGUACGACCGCAAGGUUG
rnacentral:rRNA from 1 species